UGCGGCACUGUUCCCGCCGGCAGCGGGGGU
rnacentral:sRNA from 1 species